rnacentral:rRNA from 1 species
UUAAAUUGAAGAGUUUGAUCAUGGCUCAGAUUGAACGCUGGCGGCAGGCCUAACACAUGCAAGUCGAACGGUAACAGGAAUCAGCUUGCUGAUUCGCUGACGAGUGGCGGACGGGUGAGUAAUGUCUGGGAAACUGCCUGAUGGAGGGGGAUAACUACUGGAAACGGUAGCUAAUACCGCAUAAUGUCGCAAGACCAAAGAGGGGGACCUUCGGGCCUCUUGCCAUCGGAUGUGCCCAGAUGGGAUUAGCUUGUUGGUGGGGUAACGGCUCACCAAGGCGACGAUCCCUAGCUGGUCUGAGAGGAUGACCAGCCACACUGGAACUGAGACACGGUCCAGACUCCUACGGGAGGCAGCAGUGGGGAAUAUUGCACAAUGGGCGCAAGCCUGAUGCAGCCAUGCCGCGUGUAUGAAGAAGGCCUUCGGGUUGUAAAGUACUUUCAGCGGGGAGGAAGGGAGUAAAGUUAAUACCUUUGCUCAUUGACGUUAUCCGCAGAAGAAGCACCGGCUAACUCCGUGCCAGCAGCCGCGGUAAUACGGAGGGUGCAAGCGUUAAUCGGAAUUACUGGGCGUAAAGCGCACGCAGGCGGUUUGUUAAGUCAGAUGUGAAAUCCCCGGGCUCAACCUGGGAACUGCAUCUGAUACUGGCAAGCUUGAGUCUCGUAGAGGGGGGUAGAAUUCCAGGUGUAGCGGUGAAAUGCGUAGAGAUCUGGAGGAAUACCGGUGGCGAAGGCGGCCCCCUGGACGAAGACUGACGCUCAGGUGCGAAAGCGUGGGGAGCAAACAGGAUUAGAUACCCUGGUAGUCCACGCCGUAAACGAUGUCGACUUGGAGGUUGUGCCCUUGAGGCGUGGCUUCCGGAGCUAACGCGUUAAGUCGACCGCCUGGGGAGUACGGCCGCAAGGUUAAAACUCAAAUGAAUUGACGGGGGCCCGCACAAGCGGUGGAGCAUGUGGUUUAAUUCGAUGCAACGCGAAGAACCUUACCUGGUCUUGACAUCCACGGAAGUUUUCAGAGAUGAGAAUGUGCCUUCGGGAACCGUGAGACAGGUGCUGCAUGGCUGUCGUCAGCUCGUGUUGUGAAAUGUUGGGUUAAGUCCCGCAACGAGCGCAACCCUUAUCCUUUGUUGCCAGCGGUCCGGCCGGGAACUCAAAGGAGACUGCCAGUGAUAAACUGGAGGAAGGUGGGGAUGACGUCAAGUCAUCAUGGCCCUUACGACCAGGGCUACACACGUGCUACAAUGGCGCAUACAAAGAGAAGCGACCUCGCGAGAGCAAGCGGACCUCAUAAAGUGCGUCGUAGUCCGGAUUGGAGUCUGCAACUCGACUCCAUGAAGUCGGAAUCGCUAGUAAUCGUGGAUCAGAAUGCCACGGUGAAUACGUUCCCGGGCCUUGUACACACCGCCCGUCACACCAUGGGAGUGGGUUGCAAAAGAAGUAGGUAGCUUAACCUUCGGGAGGGCGCUUACCACUUUGUGAUUCAUGACUGGGGUGAAGUCGUAACAAGGUAACCGUAGGGGAACCUGCGGUUGGAUCACCUCCUUACCUUAAAGAAGC